rnacentral:lncRNA from 1 species
AGCGGACUGUCAAGAAAUUAGUCUUAUGAGAAUCAGUUUUUAGUAAAGUUCUUCAUCAUCGUUUUCGUGACUUUGAAAAUGAAAUUGAGUUUGAUCUUCUUUGUUAUAAUUAACGUUUUUUGCAUUGAUAUUGAAUCGAUUUCUAAUGGAACGUUUGUUACUAUAAAGGAAGCGCCAUUUUAUGCAACAAAGAAUUUUGUGGUGGGUCAAUAAUUUCGGACUAUUGGAUAGUAUAAGCAGCUCACUAUUUUCUGGACUUUGAAAACCAAGAUGUAACAAUCCGAUCCGAUUCGAGUACUAAUUUGACCUUCGGAAAAAAACAUAAAAUUGAAAAAGUCAUUACAUCUGAAGAUUAUAAUAUACUGGAUUUUUCUAAAACAACCGGAACGCAUGAUAUUAGUCUAAUAAAAAGUAUUGGAUAGUAUCAGCAGCUCACUGUUUCAGCAACUUCAGAGACGAUUUAGUACGAAUUCGAUCCAGUUCUAGUACUACUGCUGUAAAAGGAAGAAAACACAAAAUUGAAAAGGUACUCAUACCUGAAAAUUUCAACAUACCGGAUUCUAGAAAAGGAACACAUGAUAUCAGUCUUAUAAAACUAUAAAAGCCAAUUAUAUUUGAUGAAUUUCAACAACCGAUACAAAUUUCUCGAAAUCCACCAAGAGACAAUGACAAGGCAACCAUAUAUGGUUUAGGCCAUCAGGGUACGACUCGUACGGACACGUUAGUUCUCAAAAUGGUAGAACUCAAUAUUAUCAGUAAAAAAGAUUGUGAACAAGUAUGGCACGAGACAGACGAUGUAUUUUGUACUGAGGAUGGCAUUACGAGCACAAACGCUUGUAAAGGUGAAACGGUCACGACUUAUCUCGGUCCUGUAGUAAUUAAAUUUAUUUUUUUGCGGAGCUUGUACGGGGUGUUACAAAGGAGACUCUGGAGGCCCAGUGGUGAUUGACGGCAAGCUAGCAGGAGUUGUUAGCCAGGGAUUCUCAUGCAAAAUUUCUAACAGGGGAUCACCAGGAUUUCAUACCAAAGUUCAUAAACAGUAUGAUUGGAUUAGGAAAAAAAGGGUAUAAAAUAUUGAAGACACCUUAUAAAAAAGUGCUUCAUAAAAGUAGAUUUGCUUAAUAAAAGUUAGAUUAUUGAAUAGGAAUUCUUAAACACUUAAAGGUACCUCUACCUAAAGUCCUGACUUCAUCACAAAGGUUGUGUUUUUUUUUAUUCUGGUGAAAAUAAAUUUGUAAAUUAAUUUAUUUGGGGCCGCAGUAGCACCCUAAUGACAAGUAUGCCUUGUUACAACAUAAAUAUGAAGACUAUUAUGUACUCGGUGUAAUAACGUUGUAUGUUCAUUCAAGAUUAUGCACGAAAUAAAUAUAUAUAUCAAAACAAAA